CAAGCCCUGGAAACGGGGUCUAAUACCGGAUAUGACCUGGGGGCGCAUGCUUCUGGGUGGAAAGCUCCGGCGGUGCAGGAUGAGCCCGCGGCCUAUCAGCUUGUUGGUGGGGUGAUGGCCUACCAAGGCGACGACGGGUAGCCGGCCUGAGAGGGCGACCGGCCACACUGGGACUGAGACACGGCCCAGACUCCUACGGGAGGCAGCAGUGGGGAAUAUUGCACAAUGGGCGCAAGCCUGAUGCAGCGACGCCGCGUGAGGGAUGACGGCCUUCGGGUUGUAAACCUCUUUCAGCAGGGAAGAAGCGUAAGUGACGGUACCUGCAGAAGAAGCACCGGCUAACUACGUGCCAGCAGCCGCGGUAAUACGUAGGGUGCGAGCGUUGUCCGGAAUUAUUGGGCGUAAAGAGCUCGUAGGCGGCUUGUCGCGUCGGAUGUGAAAGCCCGGGGCUUAACUCCGGGUCUGCAUUCGAUACGGGCAGGCUAGAGUUCGGUAGGGGAGAUCGGAAUUCC
rnacentral:rRNA from 1 species